AAACACACUUCCCUUUUGCGAAAAAAAAAAAAAAUAAAAACAUACUACCAAUAUCACACUAGAUUAAGAUGAUCACAUUACUAAAAAAAUAGAAAUAUUUGUUCAUCCAUAAAAUGCAGCCAUAAACUGUAAGCAAAUUAACACUGGGUGGGCACAAACAUGCAAUUAAAUACAGAAAAAAAUGCUAACAAUAAUUACAUGAUUUAUACCAAUCAAUUUCAUAAAUCAACUCAAUGACAUCCAUACUCAAGAUCAUACCUUUUUUAAAAAAAACUGAUGAAAGCAACCAAUACAACAGAAACCUCCUCCAAAUGUCAAAUCUAAUCACAAAAUCUGAAACAAACCAAAACCCACCAUAAUCAAACCUUUGUCAAACUCCCUUUCACCAAAACUUUAACAAAAAAACGAAUUUCAACCUUAAAUAGUAAUCUUACCUUGCUUUAAGAAAAAAGUAUUUUCAGAUCUGAAUUUGUAAAUCGAAAUGACCCCCAAACCAAGUUAGCAAGGAGCAAAGAGAUAGAGAGAAGAAAGAAGUAUAAGAAAGAAGGAAGAAGAUGCAGUUGAGAGAGAAAGAGAGAAGAAGAAAAGGAUGGAUUGAAGAGCUGGUUAAUGAGAUCUAUGGUGAAAGUAGAGAGAGAGAAGAAGAAGAUUGGUUGAGAGUGAAGAAGAAGAAGAUUGGUUUUCUUACUUACUGUUUUGAUCGAGAUGGGAAGGAGAGAAAGAGAUCGAGAUGGGGAAGAGAGAAAAGGAAAGCGGUUUCCAAAAAAAUAAAAACGUGUCCGCUUUCCUUAUUUUUGAGCUAACUCGAAAUCACGGGGAAUCUGCUUUCCUAAGUUAUUAGUUUUCCAUCUCGAACCAAACACUCGGAAUUUGUACUUUUCAGGAAAACGUUUUCCUUUCCCACCUUUUCCCCUGAAC
rnacentral:lncRNA from 1 species